GGAGCAGAAGGUGGCUGUAAUGCACCAUUAAGCUGGAUGCCAAUCGCUGUAAAACCAGAAGAAGAAGAAGAAGAAGAAGAAGAAGAAGAAAGAAGCGAGAUCUCAGUUUGUAUUUAUUAUCCUGUUUCCUGUGUCUCUCGUGAGAUCUCUGCACAACUGGGAACACAACCCUCGCGAGACCGUACGAGAUCCAAGAUGGCGGCGCCUAUCUGUCCGAGCUUCUCUCCUCCGUCAUAAAACUUUGGUUUCUUUUCUAUUUUUCUUCAUCUACUGUUUCUUCUUCACUAUAAACCGGACCACAGCACCGCAGCAACCGGAACAAAACAUCGACGGGUGUUUCUACAGAAUCUGAAUCAUGAACGAGGACGAUACAGCCGGAGCGAACACGGGAAUAACCCGCUCGACUCGGAGCAACAAAAGACUCCGACAGAGUUCACCCUCCAGCUCAGAUGUCCAGCAGCUGUUUGUGAUUAAAGAAGAGGUUUCCCCGGAGUGGUGCCCUAGCCAGGAACAGAUGGACCCAGAGCCCCUACACAUAAAGGAAGAACAGGAAGAACACUGGACCAGUCAGAAGGGAGAGCAGCUUAAUGGACUGAAGGAGACUGAUAUGUCCAGGUUCCCAUCUACUGCUGUUCCUGUGAAGACUGAAGAUGAUGAAGAGAAACCGCAGCGUUCAGAGCUUCAUCAAAGCCGAACUGAGGACAACAGAGAGGCAGAGCUUCCAGCCAGCAGCUCAACAACACAGAUAAAAACAGAAACUGAUGAAAAGGACAGUGUAGGAUCUGAACCUGCCAGGAAUCAAGAACCAGAAAGUCAUCCACAGUUAAAUGCUGAUGAAGAGGGUUCGGACUGUCCUGAGACUGAUGUCAGUUCUGGUGAGUGGCAAGAUUCUGGACCUGAAACUAAAGAGAGUGACAGUGCUUUGGAUGCUGGGGAAAGAAUUCUGAAAGGAGAUAAACCAUUUGGUUGUGAUGCUUGUGGUAAAAGAUAUACAGCACUGGGAACCCUUAGGACGCACAUGAGAGUCCACACCGGAGUGAAACCAUUCAGUUGUGAUGUUUGUAGGAAGAGAUUCAAUCAGCAAGGACAUCUGAAGAGCCACAUGAAAGUCCACACAGGAGAGAAACCAUUUGGUUGUGAUGUUUGUGGAAAAAGACUUGGGGACCGGCAAAGUCUGAGGAGACACAUGAUAGUUCACACAGGAGAGAAACCAUUUGGCUGUGAUGUUUGUGGUAAAAGAUUUACAGCACUGGCAAGUCUGAGGAGGCACAUGAGAGUCCACACCGGAGUGAAACCAUUCAGUUGUGAUGUUUGUAGGAAGAGAUUCAUCCAGCAGAGCCAUCUGAAAAGACACAUGAGAAUUCACACAGGAGAGAAACCAUUUGCUUGUGAUGUUUGUGGGAAGCGAUUCAUCGUGCAGGGACAUCUGAAGAGACACAUGCAAGUCCACACAGGAAAGAAACCAUUUGGUUGUGAUGUUUGUGGAAAAAGAUUUGGGGACCGGCAAAGUCUGAGGGGACACAUGAGAGUUCACGGAGGAGAGAAACCAUUCAGUUGUGAUGUUUGUGGGAACAGAUUCAUGCAGCAGGGACAUCUGAAGGGACACAUGAGAGUCCACGCAGGAGAGAAACCAUUUGGUUGUGAUUACUGUGGGGAGCGCUUUAAAUAUCAGGGAAAUCUAGAGAGACACAUGAGAGUCCACACAGGAGAGGAAGCAUUUGGCUGUAGUGAUUGUGGAAAAAGAUUUGUGGAACCGGCAAGUCUUAUUCUACACAUGCGAGUUCACACAAGGGAGAAACCAUUUGGAUGUGAUGUUUGUGGAAAAAGAUUUGGGAAAGGGAAACGUCUGAGGACACACAUGACAGUCCACAGAAGAACGAAAUGGUUUAUUUGUAAUGUUUGUGGGAACAGAUUCACGCAGCAGGCAUAUCUAAGGAGACACAUGAAAGUCCACACAGGAGAGAAACCAUUUGCUUGUGAAGUUUGUGGGAACAGAUUCAUCGACCAGGGACAUCUGAAGACACACAUGAGAAUCCACACAGGAGAGAAACCAUUUGCUUGUGAGCUUUGUGGGAAAAGACUUGCGAAACGGGCAAGUCUUACUUCACACAUGAGGCUCCACACAGAAGAGAAACCAUUUGCUUGUGAUUAUUGUGAGGAAAGCUUUACAAGACAGGGAAGUCUGAAGAGACACAGGACAGUUCACACAGGAGAGAAACCAUUUGGUUGUGGUUCUUGUGGGAAAAGCUUUACAAGACAGGGAAGUCUGAAGAUACACAUGCAAAUUCACUCAGGGGAGAGACCAUUUGCUUGUGAUGUUUGUGGAAAGAGAUUCAUCCAGAAGUGUCAUCUUAAGACACACAUGAGAGUUCACACAGGAGAGAAAUGUUUGUGACAUUUGUGGAAAAUUAGUUGCACAGCAUGGAAAUCUGAAAAAGCACAUGAGGGUUCACACUGUAGAGAAACCAUUUGACUGUGAGGUUAGUGGGAAAGGAUUAAGUCAACAAGCAAGACUCAAGACACAUUAACGUUCUCUCAGUGUUUUCUUCAGAUACCCAGCAGCCGUUGGAGAUUAAAGAAGAGUUUUCCCCUGAGUGGUGCCCGAGCCUGGACCAGGAGGACAAAGGGCCCCUACAAGUAAAGGAGGAACAGGAAGAACUCUG